AUAUUGGUGAGGUUCAAUCCGAUGUUAGGUUUUACAAAAGCUGUAAAAUCAGUAUCUGAUUGAGCCGCGCCAAUAUCU